AUGCUGCUGCUCGCCCUGCAGCCGGCGCGGGGCCGGGGCUGGGGGCGCUCGGCCGGGGGUCCCUGGAGCCCCGCCUGGCUUUGCUGCUGGGCGCUCGCCGGCUGCCAGGCAGCCUGGGCUGGGGACUCGCCCUCUUCCGGCCGCCCGCUUCCUCCGUGCCAGGAGAAAGAUUACCACUUUGAAUAUACCGAAUGUGAUAGCAGUGGCUCCAGGUGGAGGGUUGCCGUUCCAAAUUCUGCAGUGGAUUGCUCUGGCCUUCCUGACCCAGUGAGAGGCAAAGAAUGCACUUUCUCCUGUGCUUCAGGAGAGUAUCUAGAAAUGAAGAACCAGGUAUGCAGCAAGUGUGCUGAAGGCACCUACUCCCUGGGCAGUGGCAUCAAAUUUGAUGAAUGGGAUGAGUUGCCAGCAGGAUUUUCCAACGUUGCAACAUUCAUGGACACUGUGGUGGUCCCUUCUGAUAGCAGACCAGAUGGCUGUAACAACUCUUCUUGGAUUCCUCGUGGAAACUACAUAGAGUCUAAUCGUGAUGAUUGCACGGUGUCUCUGAUCUAUGCUGUGCACCUUAAGAAGUCAGGUUAUGUCUUCUUUGAGUACCAGUAUGUGGACAACAACAUCUUCUUUGAGUUCUUUAUUCAAAAUGAUCAGUGCCAGGAAAUGGAUGCCACCACUGACAAGUGGGUAAAACUCACAGACAAUGGAGAAUGGGGCUCCCAUUCUGUAAUGCUGAAAUCAGGCACCAACAUCCUCUACUGGAGAACUACUGGCAUCCUCAUGGGUUCCAAGGCAGUCAAGCCAGUGCUGGUAAAAAACAUCACCAUUGAAGGGGUGGCAUACACCUCAGAAUGUUUUCCAUGUAAGCCAGGCACUUUCAGCAGCAAGCCAGGUUCAUUUAAUUGUCAAGUAUGUCCCAGAAACACCUAUUCUGAGAAGGGAGCCAAAGAAUGCAUACAGUGUAAAGAGGACUCCCAAUUUUCAGAGGAGGGAGCCAGUGUGUGUGUGGAGCGCCCACCCUGCACCACCAAAGACUACUUCCAGAUCCACACUCCAUGUGAUGAAGAGGGAAAGACACAGAUAAUGUACAAGUGGAUAGAGCCCAAAAUCUGCAGGGAGGAUGUGAUGGAGGCUACUAGGCUGCCCCCUUCUGGAGAGAAGAAGGAUUGUCCACCUUGCAACCCAGGAUUUUAUAACAAUGGGUCAUCCUCUUGUCACCCCUGCCCUCCUGGGACGUUUUCAGAUGGAACAAAGGAGUGCCAGCCCUGUCCAGCAGGAACAGAGCCAGCACUUGGGUUUGAAUAUAAAUGGUGGAAUGUCCUUCCUAACAACAUGAAAACUUCCUGCUUCAAUGUAGGGAAUUCAAAGUGCGAUGGAAUGAAUGGUUGGGAAGUGGCCGGAGAUCAUAUCCAGAGUGGAGCUGGUGGCUCUGAUAAUGAUUACCUAAUCUUGAGCUUACACAUUCCAGGAUUUAAACCACCAACAUCUAUGACUGGAGCUACAGGUUCUGAACUUGGAAGAAUAACAUUUGUCUUUGAGACCCUCUGCUCAGCUGACUGUGUUCUUUACUUCAUGGUGGAUAUUAACAGAAAAAGUACCAAUGUGGUGGAAUCAUGGGGUGGAACAAAAGAAAAGCAAGCAUAUACCCACAUCAUCUUCAAGAAUGCAACGUUUACAUUUACAUGGGCAUUUCAAAGAACAAAUCAAGGUCAAGAUAACAGACGUUUCAUCAAUGAUGUGGUGAAGAUUUAUUCUAUCAUAGCCACCAACGCUGUGGAUGGGGUGGCAUCUUCAUGCCGUGCCUGUGCCCUUGGUUCUGAACAGUUGGGCUCAUCCUGUGUCCCCUGCCCCCCAGGCUACUACAUUGAGAAGAAAACCAACCAAUGCAAGGAAUGUCUAGCUGAUACCUAUCUAUCCAUACAUCAAGUCUAUGGCAAGGAGGCUUGUAUUCCCUGUGGGCCUGGAAGUAAAAGCACUCAAGACCACUCAGUUUGCUACAGUGACUGCUUUUUCUACCAUGAAAAAGAAAACCAGAGUUUACACUAUGACUUUAGCAACCUCAGCAGUGUGGGCUCACUGAUGAAUGGUCCCAGCUUUACCUCCAAAGGAACGAAAUAUUUCCACUUCUUUAAUAUCAGUUUGUGUGGGCAUGAGGGGAAGAAGAUGGCUCUCUGUACCAACAACAUAUCAGACUUUACAGUAAAGGAAAUGGUAGCAGGGUCAGAUGAUUAUACAAGUUUGGCUGGAGCAUUUGUAUGCCAGUCAACGAUUAUUCCUUCUGAGAGUAAGGGUUUCCGAGCAGCCUUGUCAUCUCAGUCCAUCAUCCUGGCAGACACAUUUUUAGGAGUAACAGUUGAAACUACUUUGCAAAAUAUUAAUAUCAAAGAAGAUAUGUUUCCAGUUUCUCCAAACCAAUUACCAGACGUGCAUUUCUUUUAUAAGUCUUCCACAACCACAACAUCUUGUAUCAAUGGCCGAUCAACAGCUGUGAAAAUGAGGUGUAAUCCUUCAAAACUUGGUGCAGGUGUGAUUUCAGUCCCCAGCAAGUGUCCAGCAGGUACCUGUGAUGGAUGUGCUUUCUAUUUCCUGUGGGAGAGUGCUGAAGCUUGCCCUCUGUGCACGGAGCAUGACUUCCAUGAGAUUGAAGGUGCCUGCAAGAGAGGACUGCAGGAAACCUUAUAUGUAUGGAAUGAACCUAAAUGGUGCAUAAAAGGAAUUACUUUGCCUGAGAAAAAGUUGUCGACCUGUGAAACUGUUGACUUUUGGCUUAAAGUAGGAGCAGGAGUGGGAGCUUUCACAGCUGUCUUGUUGGUGGCUCUAACUUGCUACUUCUGGAAAAAGAAUCAAAAAUUGGAGUACAAAUAUUCCAAAUUAGUAAUGACAACUAACUCAAAAGAAUGUGAACUCCCAGCUGCAGACAGCUGUGCCAUCAUGGAAGGAGAAGAUAAUGAAGAGGAUGUUGUAUAUUCCAAUAAGCAGUCACUACUAGGAAAACUCAAAUCUUUGGCAACAAAGGAUAAAGAUCACUUUGAAUCUGUUCAGCUGAAAUCCUCAAGAGUUCCCAAUAUAUGAAAGGACACUGGAUGCUUUAGCCUUCAGACUCAUGUCAAAGAAGCCUGCUGUCUAGUUUUAAAGACCAUGUGCUAAGGGUUGUCAUCACACCUGCCACAUUUGUGAUCUCACAGAGUAGGGCCAAUGCUGUUGAAAAUGGAAGGAUGUAGACGUGCUGAUUGCCUUACCUAUGGUCAAGUACCGUGUCAAACAAAGGAAAACAGAUGAUUUGGGUCUCAACUGAAGAAGAAGCUUAACUCAGGAAGAGAUUUAUCUGUAUAUACACGUAACUGAAACCCAGUUUAAGCCCACCAGUGCACUGCUGAUGCAUGGCAUAUAACUAAUGGAAUACUGCCAUGCCUUUUCUAUCUUGACCAAACUUUACCCAGAAGAAUGAAAAUACAUUUGAAGUGCACCUGUUUGAGACCCUGGCAAAGUUGUAGUGACUGGACAGAGUAAGAAAUUCUCUUCUGUCACCUGCCACCUCUCUCUUCAUCUUCUGCUGUUCUCAACAUGUAUGUUCCAAGCCAUAGAGAUAAUUGGGAUUUGCUCCCAGGUAGCUUCUUUCUCCUCUUGUCACCGGAUGAAAAUCUCUGACAUGUCAAAAAUGCCUUAAAUUUUAAUGACCUCUCUGAAAAUGUAGUUUAUAUUGAAGAAUUUAUUUUAUUUCUAAUUUAAGAUUUUGAAUUGAUUUUUGUCAGCUCAGCCCCUUCUUUAGAAAGGAACUUCCUUUUUCCUUGGAUUCCAGUGGCUUGUCAUUUUAUUACUAGAGCUGAAGUAAUAUUACAGAGAGGAUAUUAUAAGGAGAUAUUCAAACCAAUUCCAACUGGAAAGUUCAGUUUAUUUUUACAUUUGGCCUUUAUAAAACUUAUAGAAAUGUUGACAGGUAUAAACAAAUUCACUAUAUUUCUGUGACUUUUAACCAACAUUUGUUCCUCAAAAGUCAUACUUUGAAGCUUCAGUACUUCAUUAAGUCAAGCCUGUAAUAGCUCUUAGCACUUUGUCAAAACCUAUUUAAAUCACUUUCUAACUGGGUGAGGGCAUGUUGUCUAUGGACAAGUGAUAUCAUGCCAUUUAGUAAUGUUGAACAAUUUUGAUAUGUGUUCCCUUGAUUUAAAAGACUGAAUUUUACUAUCACUGAUUUCUCACUAAUAAUCAUAUCC